rnacentral:rRNA from 1 species
ACUCCUACGGGAGGCAGCAGUGGGGAAUCUUGGACAAUGGGGAAACCGUGAUCCAGCCAUGCCGCGUGAGCGAUGAAGGCCUUAGGGUUGUAAAAGCUCUUUCAGGUGGGAAGAUAAUGACGGUACCACCAGAAGAAGCCCCGGCUAACUCCGUUGCCAGCAGCCGCGGUAAUACGGAGGGGCUAGCGUUGUUCGGAAUUACUGGGCGUAAAGCGCACGUAGGCGGA